rnacentral:ncRNA from 1 species
UGGCUGCGAAAAGAGUUUUAAUUUUUAAAGAGACCAACGCACAUUCACGGUCUCAGGCGACAGGCACAACGGAGAGAGAAACUAUGUUUGAA